AAAAAACGUUCUUAAAGUGUAUGCUCUCUUGCUAGAAAUAUGCAGUUUGUUAUGGCAAGAUGUUAGCUGAACAACAUUUCACUUUUGAAGGUAUUAUUGGAGAAGAUUUAAUGCAAAAUGAAACAAAUGUGGAGUAACUAUUCAAUUGGGCAUUUGAAUAAGAUUAAAUGCAAGGUGAAGCAAAGUUGUAGUAGAGUUAAAUUCCUUGAGGAUAAGGAAUCUUGAGGAGGGGAG
rnacentral:misc_RNA from 1 species